GUCCACGCCCUAAACUAUGUCAACUGGUUGUCGGGGAAGCAAUUCCUUGGUAACGAAGCUAACGCGUGAAGUUGACCGCCUGGGGAGUACGGCCGCAAGGUUAAAACUCAAAGGAAUUGACGGGGACCCGCACAAGCGGUGGAUUAUGUGGAUUAAUUCGAUGCAACGCGAAAAACCUUACCUACCCUUGACAUGUACGGAAGCCUCCAGAGAUGUAGAUGUGCCCGAAAGGGAACCGUAACACAGGUGCUGCAUGGCUGUCGU
rnacentral:rRNA from 1 species